rnacentral:rRNA from 1 species
GACGAACGCUGGCGGCGUGCUUAACACAUGCAAGUCGAACGGAAAGGCCCUGCUUUUGUGGUGUGCUCGAGUGGCGAACGGGUGAGUAACACGUGAGUAACCUGCCCUUGACUUUGGGAUAACUUCAGGAAACUGGGGCUAAUACCGGAUAGGAGCUACUGCUGCAUGGUGGGGGUUGGAAAGGUUCGUCGGUUGGGGAUGGACUCGCGGCUUAUCAGCUUGUUGGUGGGGUAGUGGCUUACCAAGGCUUUGACGGGUAGCCGGCCUGAGAGGGUGACCGGCCACACUGGGACUGAGAUACGGCCCAGACUCCUACGGGAGGCAGCAGUGGGGAAUAUUGCACAAUGGGCGGAAGCCUGAUGCAGCAACGCCGCGUGCGGGAUGACGGCCUUCGGGUUGUAAACCGCUUUCGCCUGGGACGAAGCGUGAGUGACGGUAACGGGUAAAGAAGCACCGGCUAACUACGUG